rnacentral:rRNA from 1 species
UACGGGGGGAGCAAGCGUUGUUCGGAUUUACUGGGCGUAAAGGGCGCGUAGGCGGUCAGCACAAGUCAGUUGUGAAAUCUCCGGGCUUAACUCGGAAAGGUCAACUGAUACUGUGAGACUAGAGUGCAGAAGGGGCAACUGGAAUUCUCGGUGUAGCGGUGAAAUGCGUAGAUAUCGAGAGGAACACCUGCGGCGAAGGCGGGUUGCUGGGCUGACACUGACGCUGAUGCGCGAAAGCGUGGGGAGCGAACAGG